UCCGUAGGUGAACCUGCGGAAGGAUCAUUAUCGAGUUUUGACUGGGUUGUAGCUGGCCUUCCGAGGCAUGUGCACGCCCUGCUCAUCCACUCUACACCUGUGCACUUACUGAGGGUUUCAGAUCGCAGAGCAAGUCGUCUAUAGGCUUGUGAACCGCCUGGACCUGCAUUUAUUACAAAUACUAUAAAGUACUAGAAUGUGUAUUGCGAUGUAACGCAUCUAUAUACAACUUUCAGCAACGGAUCUCUUGGCUCUCGCAUCGAUGAAGAACGCAGCGAAAUGCGAUAAGUAAUGUGAAUUGCAGAAUUCAGUGAAUCAUCGAAUCUUUGAACGCACCUUGCGCUCCUUGGUAUUCCGAGGAGCAUGCCUGUUUGAGUGUCGUGAAAUCUUCAACCUACAAGCCUUUGCGGGUUUGUUAGGCUUGGUUAUGGAGGUUUGUCGGCCUUGCGGUCGGCUCCUCUUAAAUGCAUUAGCUUGAUUUCUUGCGAAUCGGCUCUCGGUGUGAUAGUUGUCUACGCCGCGACCGUGAAGCAUUUGGCAAGCUUCUAACCGUCUCAUGAGAGACAGCUUCUUGACAUCUGACCUCAAAUCAGGUAGGACUACCCGCUGAACUUAAGCAUAUCAAUAAGCGGAGGAA
rnacentral:rRNA from 2 species